rnacentral:rRNA from 1 species
GAUGAACGCUGGCGGCGUGCCUAAUACAUGCAAGUCGAGCGAACGGACGAGAAGCUUGCUUCUCUGAUGUUAGCGGCGGACGGGUGAGUAACACGUGGAUAACCUACCUAUAAGACUGGGAUAACUUCGGGAAACCGGAGCUAAUACCGGAUAAUAUUUUGAACCGCAUGGUUCAAAAGUGAAAGACGGUCUUGCUGUCACUUAUAGAUGGAUCCGCGCUGCAUUAGCUAGUUGGUAAGGUAACGGCUUACCAAGGCAACGAUGCAUAGCCGACCUGAGAGGGUGAUCGGCCACACUGGAACGGAGACACGGUCCAGACGCCUACGGGAGGCAGCAGUAGGGAAUCUUCCGCAAUGGGCGAAAGCCUGACGGAGCAACGCCGCGUGAGAGAUGAAGGUCUUCGGAUCGUAAAACUCUGUUAUUAGGGAAGAACAUAUGUGUAAGUAACUGUGCACAUCUUGACGGUACCUAAUCAGAAAGCCACGGCUAACUACGUG